rnacentral:rRNA from 1 species
AUGGCCCGCGGCCGCAAGCGCCCGCGCCGCCGCUCUCCUCGCCGCCCCCGCCAGAACCCAGCCCCGGCUUGUCGCCCCCCACCGGUGGCCGCACCGGGCGAGUGCCCGCGCUGCUUCAGCACUGGUCACCCCCGCUCGGAGUGCCGUCGCGCCAUCUGCUGCCGCCGCUGCCGGUUCCCGGGGCACGUGGCGCGUGACUGCACCGCCCCGCGUUCUCUGCGUUCCCUGGCUUCCUCCGCCGAGCCGCCGUCCAACGCCGCUGCGCGUCUUCUCCGCAAGCGGGCCACCCCUCCCCUUCGACGGCUUCUGCUGCCUCGGGCGCGAGUGUCGCCGGCCCCAGCCACCCCGCGUCCUUCGGGAGUGGGGGCCGGUCCUCGCCCGCCCUGGCGUCGCAGACGAGCUCUCCCCGCGGGUGCCCGUCCACCACAUCCAGCACGACGCCGGUCGUGCUCUCUGGUCACCCUGCCCUCCGCCCAGCAUCAGCCGUCUGCUACCUGCCAAGCACGGCUAGGUUGGUCGCCACCGAGACGGAGCUACGGGAGCGUGCCCUCACCGCAACCGUGGCUGGCAACCGCACCGGGGUUCGCCGCGAAGACGUCGCGGCGCUUCUGCGCGAGAGGUUCCACCUCGUUGACGACGAGUUCUUCGUCCACAGCCGCGGCCACGACGAGUUCCUCCUCAAGUUCUCCACGACCGAGGCUCGCGCUAGGGUGGCCCUGCGCCCGGUGCGAUCGCCACGUUUCCGUCUCAUCGUCCAUCCCUGGAGCCACUCUGCAGGCUGCGAGCCAGUCCAGCUGCGCUUCCCGGUCGAUGUUGAGAUCGCUGGCCUUCCUGAGCAGGCGUGGCGCCGGUCCUCCGUCGAGGCCAUGCUUGCUCCUUUCCUUGAGAUUGAACACCUCCUCCCCUCCACCCGCGACGGCAGCGACAUGUCCCGGUUCAGGUUCUCGGCCCGGACCGCGAACCCCGACGCCAUCCCCCGGUCCACCGACUUGCUGCUCCCAGAGCGGGACGCCGUCGAUGCGGACGCCGAUCCAGACCGGGCUGAGCGCUUCGUCAGGCACACCUUGA